GAUCGGAUUUAGUGGCGGACGGGUGAGUAACGCGUGAGUAAUCUGCCUUCAGGAGGGGGAUAACACUGGGAAACCAGUGCUAAUACCGCAUAACGUCAAUGGAAAGCAUUUUGUAUUGACCAAAGAUUUAUCACCUGAAGAUGAGCUCGCGUCUGAUUUGCUAGUUGGCGGGGUAACGGCCCACCAAGGCGACGAUCAGUAGCCGAACUGAGAGGUUGAUCGGCCACAUUGGGACUGAGACACGGCCCAGACUCCUACGGGAGGCAGCAGUGGGGGAUAUUGCGCAAUGGGGGAAACCCUGACGCAGCAACGCCGCGUGAAGGAAGAAGGUCUUCGGAUUGUAAACUUUUGUCUUAUGGGACGAAACAAAUGACGGUACCAUAGGAGGAAGCCACGGCUAACUACGUGCCAGCAGCCGCGGUAAUACGUAGGUGGCGAGCGUUGUCCGGAUUUAUUGGGUUUAAAGGGUGCGUAGGCGGAUUGAUAAGUCAGUGGUGAAAACCUGCAGCUUAACUGUAGACUUGCCGUUGAUACUGUCAGUCUUGAGUGUGGUCAAGGUAGGCGGAAUGUGUAAUGUAGCGGUGAAAUGCUUAGAUAUUACACAGAACACCGAUUGCGAAGGCAGCUUACUGGGCCAUUACUGACGCUGAUGCACGAAAGCGUGGGGAUCGAACAGGAUUAGAUACCCUGGUAGUCCACGCCGUAAACGAUGAUCACUCGCUGUUAGCGAUACACAGUUAGCGGCUAAGCAAAAGCAUUAAGUGAUCCACCUGGGGAGUACGGCCGCAAGGCUGAAACUCAAAGGAAUUGACGGGGGCCCGCACAAGCGGAGGAACAUGUGGUUUAAUUCGAUGAUACGCGAGGAACCUUACCUGGGCUUAGAUGUAGAGUGCAUUCAGCUGAAAGGCUGAUUUCCUUCGGGACUUUCUGCAAGGUGCUGCAUGGUUGUCGUCAGCUCGUGCCGUGAGGUGUCGGGUUAAGUCCCAUAACGAGCGCAACCCUUAUCGUUAGUUGCCAGCGGGUAAUGCCGGGAACUCUAACGAAACUGCCGGUGUAAACCGAGAGGAAGGUGGGGAUGACGUCAAAUCAGCACGGCCCUUAUGUCCAGGGCUACACACGUGUUACAAUGGCCGGUACAGAGGGCAGCUAUGCCGCGAGGCAAUGCGAAUCUCGAAAGCCGGUCUCAGUUCGGAUAGGAGUCUGCAACCCGACCCCACGAAGCUGGAUUCGCUAGUAAUCGCGCAUCAGCCAUGGCGCGGUGAAUAAAUGGCCGGGCCUUGCACACACCGCCCGUCA
rnacentral:rRNA from 1 species